UACGUAGGGGGCUAGCGUUGUCCGGAAUCAUUGGGCGUAAAGCGCGUGUAGGCGGUCCGGUAAGUCCGCUGUGAAAGUCGGGGGCUCAACCCUCGGAUGCCGGUGGAUACUGUCGGGCUUGAGUACGGAAGAGGCGAGUGGAAUUCCUGGUGUAGCGGUGAAAUGCGCAGAUAUCAGGAGGAACACCGAUUGCGAAGGCAGCUCGCUGGGACGUUACUGACGCUGAGACGCGAAAGCGUGGGGAGCGAACAGG
rnacentral:rRNA from 1 species